rnacentral:pre_miRNA from 1 species
ACUUAUGGAUGAACAAAGAAAGUGGUUUCUUGAGAUAGAAACUACUGCUCGUGAAGGUAUUAGGAA